rnacentral:lncRNA from 1 species
GGGACACCUGCAACAUGUUUAUAUUUAACAUUUUAUUUGAACCCUGUAGAAAUUUUUUCUAAGAAUCACACUUACCUAUAAUACAAUAAUUAAUUUUCCAUUUGUAUUAGUGCAUCAGGCGGUGCAUGAGCAGAGCGCCCCCUGGCGGCCGCCCGUCCCGAGCCGCCCAAGCCCGGGAGCCCAACUGUCGGGCCCUGUUCGUUGAGGCCAGCGACCCGCAAUGCUGUCUCUCCUGCUGCUACUCUCCGGCCUGGCCCGGCUCACCGCCCCCUCUGGCCCGCAUUCUCAGAAACUGCAGAUAACGGUGCCGCACAAGGUGGAGAGCGACACAGAGGAUGGGGACGCACAGAGGACGCAGGUCACUUAUGUCAUCGAUAUUGAAAAGAAAAGUUACACUCUCCACCUUGAAAAACAGGAUAGAACUCAAGUCCUUGUGCUUGUGAGGCAGCCAGUGGAACCACUGAGCUAAAUCCUGGGCCCUGAAGCAUAUAUUCUUUUAGAUACAUGGGAACCCUAUCAUUAAGGCUAAUGGUGGUUUUACCUAGGAAAAGAAAGAUACAUACACACCAAGGAACAUUUUUCAGUUUCUUGGCAAAAUACAAAAGGGAGGAAAAACUAUUUGACUCUUUAGUACCAUUGUUUUCAACUUUUAUGUUAGAUCAAUGUAAAAUAUAUUCAUAUUUUUAUAAAACUUGAGUGAAUACAAUGCAGAUGUAAACACUACUUUCUAUUUAAAGUAAACUAGCUUUUUACAAAUAAUAUGAUGAAAAAGAGAGAGAAAUAAAGAAAAGAAAGAUACAUGUUCUCUCCAGAAAAGAGGCCAGUGGGUUUCUCUACCAGGUAGUCUAGGUGAGGCAGGCGGGCCUCCCAUGCUGAGUCUCAGCUGUGCUAAUUCCCUCCCUCCCUGCUAUGGACCCCCAAAUAAUGGUCCAUGGGAUCUUGAAAAACAAGACUGAUCUGGCCUUUACAUUUCACAGAAGCUUUGAAGGAACUAUCAAGUAGUAACGAUUCAGUUAUUCUCUGUGGCUAUUGUUACUCUGAACAAUGACAGAAGUGAAGGUCUUCAUAGACUUUGAUGUCUUCACUGAUCUGCCUACUUCCCCAUGAACACCUACUACAGGAAAAUGGUAAGGCAGGCUAGGGUGGAACACAGAAACCCAAAUUCAAAUGUGCAUAGGUACUGAGUUGAUUACUCAACUACAAAGAGCUCUUUUUUAAAGCACAACUGAUUUUUAGCAAGUGCAAGGUAUCAAAAGACCUUCAUUUUGAUUUUAUAAAAGUAGGCUCUGUUGUGUGACAAACUACAAGUGACUGAAAAACCAAGACUGCAUGCUUUCUAAGCCCAAAAUUAACCAGAAGGAGAGUCAAACAUGAACUUAUAUUUCAACAGGACGGUGAUAAACAGAAAUUAAAGGAGAUAAUAUGCUGAAGAAUGAGGAAACCCAUAAAAUGGCUUAUGCUGACAGUGAAAAACUCUUCACCUUAUAAUGGUAAAAAAAUAUGUGUUAGUUCUUUCACUCUGAAAGAAGCUAUUGGCCAUUAAAUCUGCCAUGAAGGUCUUUGAACUGUUAAAACAUGAUGUGGCAUCAAAAUAUUAAUUUGUAUAUCAGAUUAUAAAACUAAAAGCUCCAUGUUAACUGGCUAAUUUAAAAGACAGGAAACAUACUCAUUUAAUAUCUUAUCCCAAUUACUCUUCCAGGAAAGUAGGGAAGAGAGNNNNNNNNNNNNNNNNNNNNNNNNNNNNNNNNNNNNNNNNNNNNNNNNNNNNNNNNNNNNNNNNNNNNNNNNNNNNNNNNNNNNNNNNNNNNNNNNNNNNCUCAGCUGUGCUAAUUCCUUCCCUGCCUGCUGUGGACCCCCAAAUAAUGGUCCAUGGGAUCUUGAAAAACAAGACUGAUCUGGCCUUUACAUUUCACAGAAGCUUUGAAGGAACUAUCAAGUAGUAACGAUUCAGUUAUUCUUUGUAGCUAUUGUUACUCUGAACAAUGACAGAAGUGAAGGUCUUCAUGGACUAUGAUGUCUUCACUGAUCUGUCUACUUCCCCAUGAACACCUAGUAGAGGAAAAUGGUAAGGCAGGCUAGGGUGGAACACAGAAAUCCAGAUUCAAAAGUGCAUAGGUACGAGUUGAUUACUCAACUACAAAGAGCUCUUUUUAAAGCACAACUGAUUUUUAGCAAGUGCAAGGUAUCAAAAGACCUUCAUUUUGAUUUUAUAAAAGUAGGCUCUGUUGUGUGACAAACUACAAGUGACUGAAAAACCAAGACUGCAUGCUUUCUAAGCCUAAAAAUAACCAGAAGUAGAGUCAAACAUGAACUUAUAUUUCAACAGGAUGGUGAUAAACAGAAAUUAAGGGAGAUAAUAUGCUGAAGAAUGAGGAAACCCAUAUAAUGGCUUAUGCUGACAGUGAAAAACUCUUCACCUUAUAAUGGUAAAAAAAUAUGUGUUAGUUCUUUCACUCUGAAAGAAGCUAUUGGCCAUUAAAUCUGCCAUGAAGGUCUUUGAACUGUUAAAACAUGAUGUGGCAUCAAAAUAUUAAUUUGUAUAUCAGAUUAUAAAACUAAAAGCUCCAUGUUAACUGGCUAAUUUAAAAGACAGGAAACAUACUCAUUUAAUAUCUUAUCCCAAUUACUCUUCCAGGAAAGUAGGGAAGAGAGGGGUGUUUGGAAAUGCAUUAAAACAUAAUAAGCAGAAUAAUAAAAAAAAUCUGAAAGGAAAGAUCAAAGACCACUAGUCUAAAUGAAUUGCAGGAAAAUAGGAGAAAAUACCAAAACUACUUUGCUCUACCAUGCAUACACACAGCAACCCACGAUCAUUUCCUAGAUUACUUUUGGCCUUUCUUCAAUUGGCCUUAAUUACUUAUAAAGUGUGCAACACAAUUAGGGAGGAUUUGUCUUCAAUUUAACUCUGAGAGAAGCAUGAGUGGAUGUAAAUUCUAAUCACAGACCACUGUAGAUCAUCACAGCCAUUAAAAACAAUUCCUAGUCUUGAGAAUCUUUCACACAAGUCACCUGCUAACCUUUGGAUCCAGGUUUUAGACUUGCAAAAAUUUUGGGGUUCACCAACUUCUUCAGCUUAUUAUGCAGGGAUGUAUAAAUGGUACAGAUGGAAUCCUUCCUGCUGAAGAAAGACUGGCCCCCUAGUUUCUCCCCCAGGUAGGUGAGGCUGUGGUAGACCUUCUCGGCCGCGGCUAGGUGCGCCAAGGCCACCAGCAGCGACAGCCAGCUGGCCCCAGCGCUCUUGUUGGCCUCUCGUUCCUUCUCCACAUUGUCCUUGGCUUUGUCAUAAGACAAGAUACCCAGGUGAGAGAAGAACAUCUCCAGCACCGCCUGUUCCACGGGGACUGGGGCGGCAAGCAGAGACUCCCCCAUGUGAACUGCGCUCCAGCUCGACCUGCGUGGCUCUGCUCUCCCUCGCACUUCCCUACAGUAUAUACUUUUAAUCUAUUAUUUUUUUCUUUUUUUCAUCCUGUACGGAAAUCUGUAUGAGUUAUCUUGUAUAUAUGUUUCCAUACUUUGAAAUUCUAAAUGACUCUUUCCUUCACCUAAAACAUGUGGACACUUAUGAAAAAUGUUUUAUUUUUACAAAUGGGUGGUAUUUUAAAGUAGCAAUUUUUACUUCAUCAUUUAUGUACUUUUCCUCUAUGUGUAAUCUUAACUCAUCUGUUUGAUAGAUACCAUUCCAUAGUGUGUAAAAUUGAUAGGUAAUUAAGUUAUUUUAAAGGAUUGAAACAAUAAAUUUCUCCAAUAAAUAUCUUACAUGUAUAUUCUUAUAAGUACAUAAGAAUAAGUCUGUAAAGCUUUUGUUCUACAAAUAGCAAACACUGGUUUAUGGAUCAAAGUAUAAACUGAGUUAAUUUGAACAGCCUCUAAAGCAGAUUGCUUUCUGAAGCAAUAACAGCAAAUUAGAUCUCCAAAAGUGUGCUUGAUGUGCUAAAAAUUUUUUUUGUUCAUCUUCAUUUCAAUUUGUAUAUGUCUGAGUUUGGAUUUUUGGAUUUUCCUGUACAAGGCUGUCUAUUCAGAGUUGGUACUUUUUUAUUAUGGUUUUCUAAUUGAAUGGUUAACAAAGCAAAAAAAUAUCUGAG